rnacentral:lncRNA from 1 species
AUCCCAGUUUAUUUCAUUUUGUUGUAGAGUUCAACAAUUUUUAUGAAUUUCUAAUCCAACCUCAUCAUCCUAUGGGAAACAGAAGACCACCAAGAACAGCCAGCUGGUAUCUUGGCAGUAACCUCCUCCAUAUAUUUCCUUGGCCCUCAGCUUACAUCUAGCAAAAUGACUCUACUGGUUCCAGGCUUCACAUCCAUACAACAUGGUGUUGGAGGAACAGAGAUGUUUUCUCUUCCUGGUGUUUUCCCAGACAUUUCUUAGCUGGCAUUUCAAACAAGGGUCCUGAAAUUCACCCUGGUUGGGUCAUGUUUACCCCUUCCCAUUCCCCAUCCCCACCCUCAACCGAAAAAUGAUGUAAGCAGGGGAAAUUGAAUGUACCAAUGUUUGUUUUUAAACAAGCCACAGCCCCCUCCCCAACUCCCCGACUGAAGCUUGAAGUGGGAUCAGCUUUCCCUAAAGUACUUGAGCUUAUGGUAAAGCAUUUAUGUUAUCCAAGUUAAAGUCUGGACGCUGUUAGUAAUGGGAAGGCAAGUAAUGAAUGUUAGCUACGGAGCCAACAGACAGUGUCCACUCCAUUGUCUUUAAGGCCCAACUAAAGACAACCUCUUUACCAAUGUCGGUUUAUUUAUUCAUUUAUUUAUUUAUUGAGAUGGAGUCUCACUCUGUCACCCAAGCUGGAGUGCAGUGGAAUGAUCUCAGCUGACUGCAAUUUCUGCCUCCCAGGUUCAAGCAAUCUCCUGCUUCAGCCUCCCAAGUAGCUGGGAUUACAGGCGCACACCACCAUGCCCGGCUAAUUUUUGUAUUUUUAGUAGAGAUAGGGUUUCACCAUGUUGGCCAAGCUGGUCUCGGACACCUGACCUCAAGUGAUCUGCCUGCC